UGUCUCCUUAUCAUAAAAGGAAAAUGGUCUUCUUGUAUUGAUUUUUUAGAUUUUUUGCUGUUGGUUCACAAACUCAAAUGCCUUCAGGAGCUAAACAGAGAAUAAGGCUUUGGUCUUAAUGGCCCCACAGUGGCAAGGUCUUAUCUUGCUCUGCUUUGGCACUCCUCCAAGGAGUCCAUUCUACUCUUACUCCAUUGAAGGUUUGGUGAUGUGUGCAUGGCCCAGAUUUCCCGAACCUAAACUCGUGGUCAUCUCACGUUCACGUUCAAUGGCUGGGCCCAGGAAUCAAACUGAUGAAAAACUAUCAAGAGAGAACCAACAACAUUUUAAUUAUGUACACACAAAGUUUUAAUUACAUGCAUACAAGGGAAUCCAGCAAAGAAACAAGACUCAAGGAGGUUGCCGGAUGAUUAAGGUUUAUAUACUAUCUUUGGCUAAGCAAAGGAAAAUGAGUUUGGGGCUUCCAGGUGGGGAAGGCAAGUUAUAAGAAGGUGAGGAGAAGUAUGGUAAGUAAGGUUUGUCCUGUUAUACAGGUAAGAGCCUUUCAGGUGAUGACAGCUGUCUCCAGGAGUCGCUCUCUUCCUGGUACGGAGCCAUCAUUUUUACGCAAUUAGAGAAAGGUUAAAAAAAAACUCUUCCUGCACUGCCGGUUCUCAAUUCCCCAUAGGUCAAAAUAAUCCAUAUGCCAAAGGGGUCUAUUUUGAGGUGGCAUCUUCUGGUACCUUUCAAUUCCAAAAGACUGGUGGGUCAUAAAUACUGCUUACUUCUGUUGACCCAAAACAACUGGGAGACAGGAUGAAAUGCCCAAACACAAUGUGAAGGAAAUAAGCAAAAACACCAAACAGAAACCCAAAGUCAUGUUAGAGAAACUUAAUUCUGAGGCUUAUGUAGACUCUAGUGCUGGCUUUCAAGCUUGUUUUAGCAGUUGAACUCUUAGUGCAAAUAAAAAGGUAAGCGAAACCUCUCCAAUCCCUUCCUUUCCUCCCAUACAGAAUCCGCGGGGCUCCACAGAACACAGAUGGAAAAACCACUGAAUUUUACUCCACAUCAUAAUGAGAACCUUCAGGAUACUGAGAUUUCCUACAAACUGAGAAGGCCGUAGCUGGAAGACCACUUAGAUCAAUAAUCAGCCAAUCUCUUCAUCUUACAAACGAGGACACAGAGGUACAAGAAACUGAGUGACAUGCUGAUGACCACAUGGCUUGCUAGUGGCAGUCAGGCCUAGAACAUACAUCUCUCUUCCUGAUGCAACACAGUUCUCCCUGAAUGAUCAUUUUGUUAUGUUAAAGUCGGAAAAGGAAGGGGUAUUCUUAAAGAAAGUUACUCCCCAGUCUCUCCCACUCUUUCCAUUCCCAGCUACGGUCUAAUAGACUCUCCCAAGCCAAGCAGUGCUGGGGCUGAGGGACACUCAAUUACCAGCAGACUCAGGUUCUGGGGAGUCCAGAGGCCUGCAGAAUAAUUCUUAGCCCUAUAUGAGUGUUCCAGAGUUGCCUGUUCUUCAAAAGGUGGUGCAGGAGCCAAGGCCACCUCCCUAAACCCAAGGCUGGGUAUAUGAGGGGAGAGGCCUCCUUUGGUUGCCCCAGUGGGGAACUAGUAAACCAUCCAAUGCUAUAUCUCCAGUCUUUACCUUCCUUCACCUGAAGGAUGGAAGCCACUAAUAAUCUGAUAAAGUUAAAUAUCAACACAUUUAAAGAGAACCAAUUACAAGAAGGAAGAUGCUUAACACAAUGGGGACCUGGUGAUACAGGCGAUACAGGCUCCUGGAGAAGAUGGAAGUUAGAACUAAAACACAAUAUGUGCACUGAAGGAUGGCCAAGUGUGUCUGGUACUAAUACUCGAUGAUUUUAGAACUAACUUAGAAGAGUAAUUAAAGAACCAUAUGGCCAUUGUUGAAGCCUGGAUUAGUGGCCUGAAUAUCAAAUGCAAGAAAUAUCUCAAAGUACACAUGUGCAUGUACACACACACACACACACACACAGAGAGAGAGAGAGAGAGAGAGAG
rnacentral:lncRNA from 1 species